rnacentral:rRNA from 1 species
AGAGUUUGAUCCUGGCUCAGGAUGAACGCUAGCGGCAGGCCUAAUACAUGCAAGUCGAGGGGUAACAGAGAGUGCUUGCACUCUGCUGACGACCGGCGCACGGGUGAGUAACACGUAUGCAACCUACCUUUUACUGGGGGAUAGCCAAGAGAAAUUUUGAUUAAUACCCCAUACGAUCUAAUUAUUUCAUGAUAAGUAGAUGAAAGCUUCGGUGGUAAAAGAUGGGCAUGCGUCCUAUUAGUUUGUUGGUAAGGUAACGGCUUACCAAGACUACGAUAGGUAGGGGUCCUGAGAGGGAGAUCCCCCACACUGGUACUGAGACACGGACCAGACUUCUACGGGAGGCAGCAGUAAGGAAUAUUGGACAAUGGAGGCAACUCUGAUCCAGCCAUGCCGCGUGCAGGAAGACGGCCCUAUGGGUUGUAAACUGCUUUUAUACAGGAAGAAACCUUUUCACGUGUGAGCAGCUGACGGUACUGUAAGAAUAAGGAUCGGCUAACUCCGUGCCAGCAGCCGCGGUAAUACGGAGGAUCCAAGCGUUAUCCGGAAUCAUUGGGUUUAAAGGGUCCGCAGGCGGUCUAUUAAGUCAGAGGUGAAAUCCUACCGCUCAACGGUAGAAUGGCCUUUGAUACUGAUAGACUUGAGUUAUUGUGAAGUAGUUAGAAUGUGUAGUGUAGCGGUGAAAUGCAUAGAUAUUACACAGAAUACCGAUUGCGAAAGCAGAUUACUAACAAUAUACUGACGCUGAGGGACGAAAGCGUGGGUAGCGAACAGGAUUAGAUACCCUGGUAGUCACGCGUAACGAUGGUCACUAGCUGUU